UGAGGAAUAUUGAGCAAUGGGCGCAAGCCUGACUCAGCAACGCCGCGUGGACGAUGACGGCCUUCGGGUUGUAAAGUCCUUUUCUGAGGGACGAUGAUGACGGUACCUCAGGAACAAGUCCCGGCUAACUACGUGCCAGCAGCCGCGGUAAAACGUAGGGGGCGAGCGUUAUCCGGAUUUACUGAGCGUAAAGCGCAUGUAGGCGGUGGGAUAAGUCAGCCGUGAAAGCUCCCGGCUUAACUGGGAGAGGUCGGUUGAAACUAUCCGACUGGAGGUUGGAAGAGGAGAGUGGAAUUCCCGGUGUAGUGGUGGAAUGCGUAGAUAUCGGGAGGAACACCAGUGGCGAAAGCGGCUCUCUGGACCAAUUCUGACGCUGAGAUGCGAAAGCGUGGGGAGCAAACGGGAUUAGAUACCCGGUAGUCCACGCUGUAAACGAUGGAGACUAGGUGUCGGCGGUCAUUUACCCCGUCGGUGCCGCAGCUAACGCGUUAAGUCUCCGCCU
rnacentral:rRNA from 1 species